rnacentral:rRNA from 1 species
UACGAAGGGUGCAAGCGUUACUCGGAAUUACUGGGCGUAAAGCGUGCGUAGGUGGUUUGUUAAGUCUGUUGUGAAAGCCCCGGGCUCAACCUGGGAAUGGCAAUGGAUACUGGCAAGCUAGAGUGCGGUAGAGGGUAGUGGAAUUCCCGGUGUAGCGGUGAAAUGCGUAGAGAUCGGGAGGAACACCAGUGGGCGAAGGCGGCUACCUGGACCAGCACUGACACUGAGGCACGAAAGCGUGGGGAGCAAACAGG